UACGGAGGGUGCAAGCGUUAUCCGGAUUCACUGGGUUUAAAGGGCGCGUAGGCGGGCUUGUAAGUCAGUGGUGAAAGCCCGGAGCUUAACUCCGGAAUUGCCGUUGAUACUGCAAGUCUUGAGUACAGUUGAGGUGGGCGGAAUACAUCAUGUAGUAGUGAAAUACUUAGAUAUGAUGUAGAACACCGAUUGCGAAGGCAGCUCACUAAAGUGUAACUGACGCUGAGGCACGAAAGCGUGGGGAUCAAACAGG
rnacentral:rRNA from 1 species